rnacentral:telomerase_RNA from 13 species
UGUCAUUCCGGAGAGGGGCGUUUUCUUCUUUCUCUAACCCUAAUGUAUUGCUUGGGCAGCAGCUCUCUCGGUAUGCUCGCUGUUUUGCUGGCUAACUUUCAGCGAGCAGAGGGCGAAGUCGAAUUUCGGACAAGGGAGAAAAAAUGUUAGCCGGGGAACGCCCCUUUCCCGAAUGCCCGUGCCGUCCUUCCUCUCCUCUGGGCCCGUUGGCGAUAGCCCCCGGCCUCCCUCGCUCCUUAGGCCGCGGUCAGUCCGGGCCCUUGCUCUGGCAUGAGGUCCAUUGCUGCCGCGAAGAGUUCGUCUCUGUCAGCCUUGAGGUGGCCAGCAUGGAAUUGGCGGGCUUGUGGCGGCGCGCGGGAAAAAGCAAAUGGUGAACUAGGUGCGUGUUGUGGUCGUGUUCCUGAAGCGUGGAAUGUGCGAUCUGUGCGCUAGUUCAUACACAC